rnacentral:tRNA from 1 species
GCGAACGUGGCGCAGUUGGUAGCGCAUCACCUUGCCAAGGUGAGGGUCGCGGGUUCGAAUCCCGUCGUUCGCU